UUAAGUUCAGCGGGUAUCCCUACCUGAUCCGAGGUCAACCAUAAGAGUGUGGGGUUCUGGCAGGCCACCGCCGGGACCCUGGAGCGAGAGAAGUACUACGCUUAGGGCCAGACGGCACCGCCACUGGGUUUAGGGCCGGCCGCAGCGGGCGGGACCCAACACAAGCAGAGCUUGAGGGUUGUAAUGACGCUCGAACAGGC
rnacentral:misc_RNA from 1 species